rnacentral:rRNA from 1 species
CAGUAGCCACGGUAAUACGUAGGGUGCGAGCGUUAAUCGGAAUUAUUGGGCGUAAAGGACUCGCAGGCGGUUUCUUAAGUCUGAUGUGAAAGCCCCCGGCUCAACCGGGGAGGGUCAUUGGAAACUGGGAAACUUGAGUGCAGAAGAUGGGAGUGGAAUUCCACGUGUAGCGGUGAAAUGCGUAGAGAUGUGGAGGAACACCAGUGGCGAAGGCGACUCUCUGGUCUGUAACUGACGCUGAGGAGCGAAAGCGUGGGGAGCGAACAGGAUUAGAUACCCCAGUAGUCCCUGUCUCUUAUAC